rnacentral:rRNA from 1 species
UACGUAGGGUGCGAGCGUUAAUCGGAAUUACUGGGCGUAAAGCGUGCGCAGGCGGUUUUGUAAGCCAGGUGUGGAAUCCCCGGGCUCAACCUGGGAAUGGCAUUUGGGACUGCAAGGCUGGAGUGCGGCAGAGGAGACUGGAAUUCCUGGUGUAGCAGUGAAAUGCGUAGAUAUCAGGAGGAACACCAAUGGCGAAGGCAGCUCGCUGGGACGGUACUGACGCUGAGACGCGAAAGCGUGGGGAGCAAACAGG